UGAAUAUUGCCGUCGUCCUGCUCCCUGCGCCUUCCCUCGACGCUCGGCCUUCCCAUUGGCCGAACACCGUUACGCGCUUUUAUUCUUGUCUGUUUUUGUUUCAGCCAGCUUUGCGGUGCGAAACAUUGCGAGUGGAGUGCGCAGACGCCACGUUUCGUGCCUCCUUUCUGCUUUUGUAGCGUAGUUCCGUGUUGCUGUGCCUUCGGAUGCACCACACGUGAAAAUGACGGCAAGCGACUCUUCCGGAUUCCAUCUGCGAAGCGAGACGUGGCGCGGAGGAAGGUUCGGCUGCAAAGAAUCAGCCGGGCAAAUUCCCGGCUCUGUGAGGACUCGCCACGGUAGCCCGGUGGCUGUGGCGAUGCACUGCUGAGCACGAGGUCGCGGGUUCGUUACCGGCCACGGCAGCCACAUAUUCAUGGGCGCAAAACGCGUUUCUGUGAAAACCAGUCAUCUGAAAUAUAACAGGCGCGCGCUAUCAAUAGAAUCAGUAGCACACCACGCACCAUUCAGUACAGGCCUCUGACCGCAGCGCCUCUACUGCUGUCAUGAAGUGGAGAAACAGUGAACUGCGUCGAUUGGCACACCUGCCAAUCUAGCCACCGUGCAAAAGAUGCCUUUGGAGACAACGUUUUGACGACGCUUCAACAAUAUCUUGACUUCGCCUGAAUAAGUCCUCUUCAAGACCACUUCAAGUAUCCAUCUUCCUGUGAACUUGUUCGAGUAGCUCCAUUCGAGUACGACGAAAGUUUUGUUUCGCUUUAAAUACACUGUGGACCAA